AACUCUUUGACACAAGAUGUUUUAGGAACAAAUUAGGUAACAGUAGGUGAGGAAACCCGAUUAUAUCUUUCUGCCAAGAUUCCAUUGUUUUAGGUCAAAGCAAGAAGAAGCACAGCCUAGGAUACUAGUAUGAAUCCAAACCAGACCAACUUUUCUUUUUUUCCAGUGCUUGGGUUGGAACCUGAGGCCUGGAGCUUGCCAGGCAUGUGUUCUACCUCAGAACCAUGCUCCCAGCCCACAGGAAGGUUUUGAGUCCUAUCUAGAUCGUUUAUUGGCUCUACGACCUGAGAGCUUUUUUGGGGUACCUCAUAUCCAAACCAUAACAGACUCAGAAGAGAGUGUCAGAGCUGAAACCAACACUCCUCUAGGAUCCAGGCUCAGGCUUACCCACCUUUAUCCUCAGUGCCAAAGAUUCCCAGGACCAUGUGGAUGAUCAGCAAACACUGAGGCAUAUAAGAACACUGUCCUCCUCUGUGGCUUCAUUCUGACCUGAGCUGAAUCCAACAUCAAGCACGUCACCGUCACCAGAGAGCCAGAAACCAACAUGCCUUUCCUUUGUGAUCACAGAUCAAUCUGAAUUUUAAAAUUAGUAUUUUC